rnacentral:rRNA from 1 species
UACGUAGGGGGCAAGCGUUGUCCGGAAUUAUUGGGCGUAAAGCGCACGCAGGCGGUCGCACGCGUUUCCGGUGCCAGCUCGUUGCUUACCGACGGGAGUGCCGGGAAGACGGUGUGACUGGAGCACCUCAGAGGGACAUAGAAUUCCGGGUGGAGUGGUGAAAUGCGUAGAUAUCCGGAGGAAUACCAAUGGCGAAGGCAGUGUCCUGGGAGGUCGCUGACGCUAAGGUGCGAAAGCCAGGGGAGCGAACGGG